rnacentral:rRNA from 1 species
UACGUAGGGUGCAAGCGUUAAUCGGAAUUACUGGGCGUAAAGCGUGCGCAGGCGGUUUUGUAAGUCUGUCGUGAAAUCCCCGGGCUCAACCUGGGAAUUGCGAUGGAGACUGCAAGGCUGGAGUCUGGCAGAGGGGGGUAGAAUUCCACGUGUAGCAGUGAAAUGCGUAGAGAUGUGGAGGAACACCGAUGGCGAGGGCAGCCCCCUGGGUCAAGACUGACGCUCAUGCA